CCUUCUCAAAAGAAGGCUUAGGACAACAGCCGAAAACUGAUCCUAGAAAGAAGGCUAAAGCUGAAACAAGAGAUUGGCUUAACAGUGUGUAGGACGACGACGGGAGGACGAGGACGUCGACGGUGAUUACAACCAGGAGGAUGAACCCACACAUUGCCACG